rnacentral:rRNA from 1 species
UACGAAGGGGGCUAGCGUUGCUCGGAAUCACUGGGCGUAAAGCGCACGUAGGCGGCUUUCUAAGUCAGGGGUGAAAUCCUGGAGCUCAACUCCAGAACUGCCUUUGAUACUGGAGAGCUAGAGUCCGGAAGAGGUGAGUGGAACUGUGAGUGUAGAGGUGAAAUUCGUAGAUAUUCGCAAGAACACCAGUGGCGAAGGCGGCUCACUGGUCCGGUACUGACGCUGAGGCACGAAAGCGUGGGGAGCAAACAGG